UGGGGAAUUUUGGACAAUGGACGAAAGNCUGAUCCAGCCAUGCCGCGUGCGGGAAGAAGGCCUUCGGGUUGUAAACCGCUUUUGUCAGGGAAGAAAUCCUUUGAGCUAAUACCUCGGGGGGAUGACGGUACCUGAAGAAUAAGCACCGGCUAACUACGUGCCAGCAGCCGCGGUAAUACGUAGGGUGCAAGCGUUAAUCGGAAUUACUGGGCGUAAAGCGUGCGCAGGCGGUUAUGUAAGACAGAGGUGAAAUCCCCGGGCUCAACCUGGGGACUGCCUUUGUGACUGCAUAGCUUGAGUGCGGCAGAGGGGGAUGGAAUUCCGCGUGUAGCAGUGAAAUGCGUAGAUAUGCGGAGGAACACCGAUGGCGAAGGCAAUCCCCUGGGCCUGCACUGACGCUCAUGCACGAAAGCGUGGGGAGCAAACAGGAUUAGAUACCCUGGUAGUCCACGCCCUAAACGAUGUCAACUGGUUGUUGGGAAGGUUCCUUCUCAGUAACGUAGCUAACGCGUGAAGUUGACCGCCUGGGGAGUACGGCCGCAAGGUUG
rnacentral:rRNA from 1 species